GAUGAACGCUGGCGGCGUGCCUAAUACAUGCAAGUCGAGCGAACGGACGAGAAGCUUGCUUCUCUGAUGUUAGCGGCGGACGGGUGAGUAACACGUGGAUAACCUACCUAUAAGACUGGGAUAACUUCGGGAAACCGGAGCUAAUACCGGAUGAUAUUUUGAACCGCAUGGUUCAAAAGUGAAAGACGGUCUUGCUGUCACUUAUAGAUGGAUCCGCGCUGCAUUAGCUAGUUGGUAAGGUAACGGCUUACCAAGGCAACGAUGCAUAGCCGACCUGAGAGGGUGAUCGGCCACACUGGAACUGAGACACGGUCCAGACUCCUACGGGAGGCAGCAGUAGGGAAUCUGCCGCAGUGGGCGAGAGCCUGACGGAGCAACGCCGCGUGAGUGAUGAAGGUCUUCGGAUCGUAAAACUCUGUUAUUAGGGAAGAACAUAUGUGUAAGUAACUGUGCACAUCUUGACGGUACCUAAUCAGAAAGCCACGGCUAACUACGUG
rnacentral:rRNA from 1 species